GUGCGCAACCUCUGCAUUUAUAGCUACCAUUUGGAAGAGGGCGUAAAAGAGCCUGCCUGAUUUUCUUGUGGCUUGCAGUUGGCAUGGACCAAUUCAUCGCGUAGAUUACGACCUCUCUUAUACACAAUAAGUGGUGGAUUCUUAAAUUCAGCAGGCAAACUUGGGUCCGUGGAUUUAACAUGCCAGUGUUUCUUGACUGCAUCUCCCACUUUUCGGAGAAGAGUAGAGCUGCCCAGAUGAGGACCCACAUCCUGCCUCCACUGCCUCAAUGAAUCAACCACAACACCGGGGUCUGUCGACUUUCACCUCUUUCUAUGGCCUCCUUGUCUGUGUCCACACGUCUGGAGCACAGAAAGAGUAUACAUAUGACCAUAUAUACGUAGCUCUGUGAUGAAUUAUGAUAGAUUGUGCCCAAAAUUGAAUUGUUUCCACGCCCACCAUGCGUCGUGCGCAGUGAUCAUGUGAGAUGAAAUGUUCAUGUUUUUUGAAGUGAGCACUCAGUUUGACUUGAUGAUGAUCCGUUUCGGAUCGAAACGUUGUCAAUAAAGUGGAGAAUAGGGAGCUUCAA